rnacentral:rRNA from 1 species
UACGGGGGGAGCAAGCGUUGUUCGGAAUUACUGGGCGUAAAGGGCGCGUAGGCGGUUCGUUAAGUCCUGUGUGAAAUCCCCCGGCUCAACUGGGGAACUGCACAGGAAACUAGCGGGCUUGAGUUCGGGAGAGGGAAGCGGAAUUCCGGGUGUAGCGGUGAAAUGCGUAGAUAUCCGGAGGAACACCGGUGGCGAAGGCGGCUUCCUGGACCGACACUGACGCUGAGGCGCGAAAGCUAGGGGAGCAAACGGG